rnacentral:lncRNA from 1 species
AUGCUGUCUUUAGAGCUGCAGCCUGUAAUCUUACACUUUUAAUGUUGUACAAAAGCGAAAAAUAUAAACAAUGUGCAAAAUAUUAGAUACUGAAAACUAAGAGUAAAAGUCUUUAUAUUAUCACCGAAUACAUUUACAAAACGUGAAGGCUUCUAAAAUCAGGGUUCUGACCUCGUUUGUGAUCGUUCAAAAACACUUCCACGUCAAGCAGAUCAGGGUUCUAGGAACUCACGCAGAGUAUCGCGACACUUCACGAGAUCACGCUCUGGAAGCAGGUGAUUUGUUAUUUCAAAGUUUGAAACCUGCAACGAGGAUCUUCAGCGUCAAAUUCUCACCGUUUACAAGGAUUAUGGUAUUUUCGUUUAGGCUGAUCCUGAUUCGACCCGUCAAAAGAUUUGAACGAACUGCCAAACGUCCGGCCGACAGCAUCACAGCUGAAGCCCGUUUGCGAUGAAGAUGGUCUCCUCAGCAGAAUUUGGUCUGUUGCUGCGGGGAACUGCCCCGCGCACAGUCACCGCCAUCCGCGCAGAGAAGAUGAGCAGAUCGAUGCCAUCCAUUUGUCAGCGCCAUGACCGCUCUGAGUAACAAACUUUUGAGAGGAUUCUCAUCUCUGGGCUGACCUCACCUCCGUGUGUAGGUGCAUCAAUGUGCUUCACUUUCAUCUUGUUAUUUUUUAGAAAAAUGGGGAAAACAAAAUACUUGAUGUAAUUCUAAAAAGGUUAAAAGGUUGUUUUUCAAAAUAAAGCUACAUGUUUUCCAAGAAAAAUCUUGCAUUUUUCACUUAGAU